rnacentral:rRNA from 1 species
UUACACAUGCAGUCGAACGAUGAACCCAGCUUGCUGGGUGGAUUAGUGGCGAACGGGUGAGUAACACGUGAGUAACCUGCCCUUGACUCUGGGAUAAGCCUGGGAAACUGGGUCUAAUACUGGAUAUGACUUCUCACCGCAUGGUGGGGGGUGGAAAGAUUUAUUGGUCUUGGAUGGACUCGCGGCCUAUCAGCUUGUUGGUGAGGUAAUGGCUCACCAAGGCGACGACGGGUAGCCGGCCUGAGAGGGUGACCGGCCACACUGGGACUGAGACACGGCCCAGACUCCUACGGGAGGCAGCAGUGGGGAAUAUUGCACAAUGGGCGCAAGCCUGAUGCAGCGACGCCGCGUGAGGGAUGACGGCCUUCGGGUUGUAAACCUCUUUCAGUAGGGAAGAAGCGAAAGUGACGGUACCUGCAGAAGAAGCGCCGGCUAACUACGUGCCAGCAGCCGCGGUAAU